UGGGGAAUUUUGGACAAUGGGCGCAAGCCUGAUCCAGCAAUGCCGCGUGCAGGAUGAAGGCCUUCGGGUUGUAAACUGCUUUUGUACGGAACGAAACGGCGAACUCUAAUAAAGUUUGCUAAUGACGGUACCGUAAGAAUAAGCACCGGCUAACUACGUGCCAGCAGCCGCGGUAAUACGUAGGGUGCAAGCGUUAAUCGGAAUUACUGGGCGUAAAGCGUGCGCAGGCGGUUAUAUAAGACAGAUGUGAAAUCCCCGGGCUCAACCUGGGACCUGCAUUUGUGACUGUAUAGCUAGAGUACGGUAGAGGGGGAUGGAAUUCCGCGUGUAGCAGUGAAAUGCGUAGAUAUGCGGAGGAACACCGAUGGCGAAGGCAAUCCCCUGGACCUGUACUGACGCUCAUGCACGAAAGCGUGGGGAGCAAACAGGAUUAGAUACCCAAGUAGUCCCUGAGCGGGCUGGCAAGGCGCAU
rnacentral:rRNA from 1 species